rnacentral:rRNA from 1 species
UUUCACAAUACUAUUACCCUAUAAUUAAAAUUAUUUUUUCUUUAUUAAAUACUAAAACAAAUCUCUAUAUAAUUAUUUUUAAUAAUUUAAAAUUUAAAAAAUAUAAAUUAAUAAAUAAAAUAUAAUCAAUUUAUAUUGAUUUGCACAAAAAUCUUUUCAAUGUAAAUGAAAUGCUUUACUGAAUAAGCUUUAAAUUGCAUUCUAGGUACACUUUCCAGUACAUCUACUAUGUUACGACUUAUCUUACCUUAAUAGUAAGAGUGACGGGCGAUGUGUGCAUAUUUUAGAGCUAAAAUCAAAUUAUUAAUCUUUAUAAUUUUACUAUCAAAUCCACCUUCAAUAAAUAUUUCAAAUUUAUAUUCGUUUAAAUAAAUUUAUUGUAACCCAUUUCUACUUAAAUAUAAGCUACACCUUGAUCUGAUAUAUUUUCUUUUUAAAAAUUAUGAAAAUUAACAUUCUUAUAAAAUAUUCUAAUAACGACGGUAUAUAAACUGAAUACAAACUUAAGUAAGGUCCAUCGUGGAUUAUCGAUUAUAGAACAGGUUCCUCUGAAUAGACUAAAAUACCGCCAAAUUUUUUAAGUUUCAAGAACAUAACUA